rnacentral:snRNA from 1 species
GUGCUCUCUUCGGUAGCAUAUACACCAAAAUCAAAAUGAUACAGAGAGGAUUAGCAUGGCUCCUGCACAAGGAUGAUACGCAAAUUUAUGAAGCAUUCUGUAUUUUU